rnacentral:rRNA from 1 species
UACGUAGGGUCCAAGCGUUAUCCGGAAUCACUGGGCGUAAAGCGUGUGUAGGCGGCGCGUUAAGUGUAAUGCGAAAUCCUGUGGCUCAACCAUAUGGACUGUAUUGCAUACUGGCGUGCUGGAGGUCGGCAGAGGCAAGUGGAACUCGUAGUGUAGCAGUGAAAUGCGUAGAUAUUACGAAGAACACCAAUGGCGAAGGCAGCUUGCUGGGCCGAAUCUGACGCUGAGACACGAAAGCGUGGGGAGCGAACAGG